GAUAGUGUUGCAUAGUGAUUUGAUGCUGGACUCUGACUCUGGAGACCCGGGUUCAAAUCCCUGCUCAGCCA